rnacentral:lncRNA from 1 species
UUGUUUUUAGGCAUUAUCAAACUUCCCCACACUUAUCAUGUGCUCAUCAUUAAGCACGACACAGUACACUCUACAAAUCUACAUUUUUUCACCUUAAAGUCACUUACUCCUAAUCAUUUCAACAUAACCAUAUGUUACAUCUCAACCCUCACAUUGCUAAAAUAACCAUUAGUUAGUAAUUUGUGAACUUCAGUUUCAUGGACCCACACCCAAAAAUAAUCAUUUUGACAACAUCCAAACAUGAUAUGGGAGACUUUUGUAAAUUUUCCUUAUAAAAAUAAGUUAAGAGGAACAACCAACACAUAGUAGAACAAGUAUCGAACUUGUCUAGAUAUAGAGGUUUCAUGCAAAUUGGUCCAUGCAGACAAUAGAAAGCUUAUAUGUAACUUACUUGAGCACUUACUGCUUGCUUGAAAUGUCACCAACCUUUUGACACUAGUGCAAACUAUUGUGAUGAAUGGCCUCGGUUAUUCAGUCAAUCACAGUUUCAAGUGGUUACUAAUGCUACUCAUAGUGCUUUAAGAUGUCACUAGCCUUUUUAUGUGAGUAAAAACAAUUGUGAUGAAUGACCCCAGUUACUCAAUUAAUGCAUAUUUCAAGUAACUAGAGGAGUAGAUUAUUAUGCAUGCUCUCUAUCUCUCUUUUUUUCACAUGAACCCCAUAAUUUUAAACAUGUAAAUCCAUAUAGAUUAUAGUAGAGUUCUUUCCAUUCACUCAAAGAUAAGAACAAUUCAAUUUUGAACAAGCAAUACUCAAGCGUAUCAUGUUUGAAAUGCAUAACCAAAGGUAACUAUUCUAGGUGUGGGAAGAUGAAAAAUAAUUACAGUUCCUAGAUGAUGGUCAUAACUGCAAUUCGAAUUUGGAGUUGCCCCAUUUGAGUCGUUUAAAGACAAUAUGGAGUCAAGAAUUGCCCAGCAUGGGAUUCUGAGUUUAAAAAAAAUUGCCUAUGAUGUAAAAUGUAGAGUGCAGAAUGUCUCUUCCCUCCGCACAUAAAUCACACAUUGUCCCUAGUAUGAUGUAAAGAAUGGAAAAGAAAAUGAAGGGACAAAGUAUUCCCUCGACUUCGUUGAUUGGAUGUGGUGUAUAUGGAGAAAUAGUAUUUGUUUGAAGAUAUUCUACAUUUUGGGUGGCUGCAACGUGGCAUAAGCCUUGGGCAAUGCUUGUGCAAACACUUCAAAGUUUAAAAUGAGUUAAUCGAUCGACAAUCUCUCUAUUUGUGAGCUGAGAGACAAAAGUUAAUGCAGUAAAAGUAAAAUAAAACAACAAAAAUUAUAAAUAAAGUAGGAAACAAAUGUAAAAUGAAAGGAAGGGGGUAGGAAAAUCCCCUGAUGGUCAUCGUUUGCACUGGCGGGUGGUUGACUGCAAGUUUUGAGUCAGCAUUUGCAUCAAGGUUUCUAUUUUCUCAUUCAAUUGAUGGAAGGUGAAGUCCAUGGAGUGUAAUUUAGUCUCGAUGACAUGCAUCAUGGUGCGGUCCAUGAAUUAUGGAAAGUUUGGGGGUGAUAGGGUUGGUUCUUGGUGUGCUUGCUGCUCACGUCGCUUUCUAUAGAUUU